AAAACAACUCUAACUCAACAACAGGAUCAUCUUGGUCUCGGCAAUCGAUGAAGAACGCAGCGAUGGAUAAGUAAUGGAUUGCAGAAUUCCGGAAUCAUCGA
rnacentral:rRNA from 1 species